AAUGACUCUCAGCAACGGAUAUCUUGGCUCUUGCAAUUGCAGAAUUCCGCGAAUCAUCGAGUUUUUGAACGCAAGUUGCGCCCGAGGCUCGUCCCGAGGGCAUGCCCGCCUGAGCGUCCG
rnacentral:rRNA from 2 species